CCUUUCUAAGGAUGAUCAAGAAUUGGAAAGUCUUUAAAAAAGACACGCACUUUAAUAAAAUAAAGUCAAAUUCCUUUUUGAUCUCAUUAGACAUAAAAGGUUUAAACAAGUCCGUUUAAACCUGAAGCAUAUGGCACUUUCUCUCAAGGCACCUCUCGUUUAAGAGAGUGUUCCAUGAGAAAUGUUCCUAUGUUAAGAUAUAUAAGCAGACUAGCCGUCUUCGUUUCUCUUUCUUCAGAUGAUGAUCCCAAGCCUUCUGGCAAUCCGUAGCAAGUUUUUUGUAAAACUUGAAGAAAGUAUUUUUCUUAAAAGAAUGCUUAUCAUGCGAUAAAGCCGGGGAAGGUUUUCCGGUUUAUCCCGGAGGGCUUGUAGCUCAGUUGGUUAGAGCGCGCGCUUGAUAAGCGUGAGGUCGGAGGUUCAAGUCCUCCCAGGCCCACCAAUUAUUCAUCCUUUGAAAAAGCGCUUAUAACGUUCAAUUUGUAACGUGCGACUGGUCGGGUUUGAAAAGACGUGUUUAUCACUUUUGGUAAGAUAUGGCAUUUAUCUGUUUUUUAAAGUGAGUGAAAGCAAAGGCGGUUUAAGGUAAAGAUCUCUCAAUACGGUGAUCUUUAGACACAAGGAUCUUUAAGACACAGUUUUUUUAGGAACAGGGUUUUUUAGACACAGGCACUCUUUUAAUGCAGGGUUUCUGCGUGGAAAAAUAAAAUUCCAGCUGUUUCUCUAAGUGCUCAAUUUCCUGAAUAUCCAAUCCUAAAGUGUUAAAAAUCCAUGGCUUAGAGUUAAGUAUUGGGGAGUUAAAAUCUUCAAGGAUUGAAACUUCAAACGUGUGAGGUUUCAGUGUUAAAGAGCUGUUUGAGAGAGGCUUUGGAUAAAUGAAGCGUUUAUAGGGGGCCGUAGCUCAGCUGGGAGAGCACCUGCUUUGCAAGCAGGGGGUCGUCGGUUCGAUCCCGUCCGGCUCCACCAUUUGGUCAUCAUCAUUGUUGUGAGAACACACUUUAGUGGGAGGUUUAGAAACCUUUUGCUUGUUCUAUUGAAAUUGUGAAGAGAAGAUAUAUUCAGACAUGUCGCUUUUGAGAUGUUUUUUCCAAAGAGCAGAUCUGCUCUCAGGAAGAAAAGGUUGAUAAGGCAACAUUGUGUCGCAAGGGAACGCUCAAAGCCCUUGCUUAUGAUUGGAAGCUUAACCGCGCCAUUGAAUAUAUCUCGAGAAGCUGGUCUUUUCUGCUGAUAUUACUGUUUAUUUUGCGCUUUGUUUUGCACAAGAUAAAGAAAUGCGGAUAAACGAAGAAGAAUAUGGCAAGAGAAGGCAA
rnacentral:tRNA from 1 species